CCUACGGGUGGCUGCAGUAAGGAAUAUUGGUCAAUGGACGAAAGUCUGAACCAGCCAUCCCGCGUGCAGGAUGAAAGCCCUAUGGGUUGUAAACUGCUUUUAGCAGAGAAGAAAAGCUUUCAUUAAUGAGAGUCUGACGGUAUCUGCAGAAUAAGCACCGGCUAACUCCGUGCCAGCAGCCGCGGUAAUACGGAGGGUGCGAGCGUUAUCGGGUAUUAAUGGGUCUAAGGGGGACGUAGGCGGCAGUGUAGAAACCUGGUCGCUUAACGAGAAAAUUGCCAAUGAUACUGGUACUCUUGAAUUGGGUGGAGGUUAGCGGAAUGUGACAUGUAGCGGUGAAAUGCAUAGAUAUGUCAUGGAACACCAAUUGCGAAGGCAGCUAACUGGGCCUUGAUUGACGCUGAGGCACGAAAGCGUGGGUAGCGAACAGGAUUAGAUACCCGAGUAGUC
rnacentral:rRNA from 1 species